AAAAAAAAAAUAAAAAAAAGAUCUGAGGCAGAGAGGAAGCCGAGUGCAUACACGAGUUCUCUGUCUCUGUGGCUGGAGAGGUAUGGUAAGGGUUACAGGAGCUUCUGGCAUCUGCCUUUUUUAAGAAACCUGCCAAGAGAAAAGGGCUCUGCAAAGUUCAUGUCUUUAAAAUGUAAGAACAAAAUAAAAGUAUCUGCAAAGCUUCUGAUCUGUGCAGAUGAGGAAGGACUGGCAGCAAGGAAUUCACCUGAGGGAGACUUGUAUGAUGAAGCCAGAAGAGCUGGUGAAAAGAUUGAUUUCCUGGAUUGUUUUAACAUCAGGACCUGGGACAACUGCAAAAGUUCAUCACUGCUCUCCAAGUCCUUCACAGAACUUUAUCUUGCUUUACUUGUAAUUUAUUUUCAGUAAAGGACUGCAAGGAGAAGGUGAAGGCAGAUUUCAGUAUAAACUGGGAUGUUUGAGGAGUUGAGCUCAGACCUCAGUGGCAUGGAGUUGCAGUAGAGAAACUUGCACAGCUAUAUCUGAGUUCUCUUCUCUUCUCUUCUCUUCUCUUCUCUUCUCUUCUCUUCUCUUCUCUCUUCUCCUCUCCUCUUUUCUCUUAUCCUUCCUUCCUUCCUUCCUUCCUUCCUUCCUUCCUUCCUUCCUUCCCAGUGAAAUCCAUACUUUGACGAAUACACCUGAAGCACACUGAUAACAUGAGCUUAUGGGAGCCUGCAUGAUGGAUUUCAAUGAAUAGUCCUUCCAUCAAGCCAGAAUUCAUAAGAAGUUCACUUCUGUCUGUCAGGGGACUGUCUGUGGCAGGUUCAUCCAUCUCCAGUUUAAACCACUCUGUUUCACGCAAUUGUGGUCCAGUUCUGCUCCGAGUUACACCCAUUGACUUGAGCAGAUCCACAUGAAUGUUAACAACAAAAAGUAAACAAAACAGAAUUUAACUCUAUUGAUUUUCCUAAUACACUCAUCAAUGUAUGUUACAAAUGUGAAAUCCCAGAAGCGUUAAUUCUGGAAAUAUCUGUCCACAAUAGUCAACAUAAUUCACCAAAUGGAAAGAUGGAGAUUCUCCAGGAUUAAUAACAUGGAAAAGUAUGUUAUUUGUUGUGAUAAAUAUUUGGAAGGCAACUUUAUUGUCAGGAGUAUAAAGACCCACCCGUUACUUGGAAAAUCAGUACAAAGCAACAGAAUAUCUCACUUUAAGAAAAACAUCAAGGAGAAAAGAGGAAGUUAUCCAAGAACUGGGGAAACUUGACCAGGGUCUGCAGGGAUUUUAAAUUUCAAGACUGUUUGUUGUUUAAACUGAGUCACACCGAUGCAACAGAGAAUUUGUCCUUGGCAGCAGAACUGUUAGAACGGAGAGUUAAUGCUCCCUUGUGUCAACCCACUGAAUCCGGGUCAUCAUGUCUUAAUUAAAUUGUACAUGCUAUGAAAUACCAUUGAACGUCAAUCCAGUUCCUUAGUGUAUAGAAUAUUAUUUUUAUUUAUAGGGUUUGGCAGUCACUUCUGGAAAAUAAAAAAAGCUAUUGAAAUAUAAAGAUUGCCCA
rnacentral:lncRNA from 1 species